rnacentral:rRNA from 1 species
AUGCCACCUGCAGAUUCUGAGUUUCUCUCAUUCUUAUCAUCCACUUCUACAAAACGGUCUAAGAGUGAAUUGAGAAACUAUAUGGAUGAUGCAAAUGAGGGUAUGGUUGCCACUUUCAAUCUGCUAGAGUGGUGGAAGGUGAAUGCACUUAGGUAUCCUGUGUUGGCAAACAUGGCAAGAAGAUUCUUACCUAUCCCUGCUAGCUCGGUGUCUUCGGAAUCCACUUUUAGCACCGGUGGAAGAAUUCUGGAUGAUUAUCGAAGCUCUCUAAAACCAUACAUGGUGGAGGCAUUGGUGUGUGGCGGAAGCUAUAUCAAGGGUGCUUACAAAGACUUAAUGUGUUGUGAUGUGGAAGAAGAUGAUGAGGAGGAGGAUGUGGAGAAGGUCAAAUUGCCUAAAAGUGUGGCAGAUUGCAACUACUAG